rnacentral:rRNA from 1 species
UACGGAGGGGGCAAGCGUUGUUCGGAUUCACUGGGCGUAAAGGGUGCGUAGGCGGGUUUGCAAGUGAAACGUGAAAGCCUGGGGCUCAACCCCAGAACUGCGUUUCAAACUGCAAGUCUAGAGUACAGGAGAGGUGAGUGGAAUUCUCAGUGUAGCGGUGAAAUGCGUAGAUAUUGAGAGGAACACCCGAGGUGAAAACGGCUCACUAUUCUGAUACUGACGCUAAGGCACGAAGGCAAGGGGAGCAAACAGG